GAUGAAGAACGUAGCGAAAUGCGAUAAGUAGUGUGAAUUGCAGAAUUCCGUGAAUCAUCGAAUCUUGGAACGCACAUUGCGCCUUCUGGUAUUCCGGAAGGCAUGCCUGUUCGAGAGUCAUUAACAACCGUUUCGAUCCCUUUCUUUCAGAAAUUACAAAGAGGAAAAGGGUUUGGUUAUGGUGGAGGAGGGAAAGGGAGCGUUUAGCCUGUAAAAAAAGAGGCUGUGUUCCGCCUCCCCCCCAAAAUUGUACAGGCGGUCGUGUGCGCCCACGCAUCGAGGUGUUGUAAAAGCUGCCACGGCACUUUUCACCUGUGCAGUGCGAGAUUGGCCAGCCGGUUUAAAAACCCCUCCAAACAAUCCAAGGUUGACCUCGGAUCAGGUAGGGAUACCCGCUGAACUUAAGCAUAUCAAUAAGCGGAGGA
rnacentral:misc_RNA from 1 species